CUGAGCGGGAGGGACUUUCAAUAGAGGAUAUCCGUUUUUGUUGCAAGUUUAGGAUAUUGCCCCGUCAAAUAUAUCGUUAAAACCCCAAAAAUAUUUUCCUUUCUUUUUUUGUUAUUCAUUUUCAUGUUAUAAUUAUUCUUGCUCCAAAUACUGUUCACUGGCGUACUUGGCUCAUCGAAGUAUGAGACGGGAAAUUGCGUUGCAGUGGACCGGGAUAACGCUACAAUUCAGCAUCCUCUCUCAGCCUACUAACUUGCUAUCGUGGAAGACUUUAGCUUGUCAGGUACUAGCGACCCCAGUGACCACAUAACGAGUAAGCUUCGUUGCCGUGGCUCUCUGGAUACUGGAUAGCUCGACUGGCAGCCAGUCGGCAGAGGAGUCGACCAGUCAACGUACGGUGUGAUGCAGACGUCUGGACGGAGGAGCAGUCAAGUUGGAAUGGGUUCCUAGAGGUUUUGGCGCCUCCAGUGUCAACAGUUUGUCACAACUGUUUGAGGUUUACUACAUAAUCACCAUCUACUCUUUUAAUUCCUACUUAAUGGGGCUCGCAAUUCUUCUAAAAGCCCUAUAAAUCAUAGGGCCCGCCCUUCCCAUUCAUUCAAUGAUCUUCAGUUUCAACUGACAUCAAUCCUCGGACGCUGUCAACAAAUAAUAAUAUAUAAACAUUAUUGGCCUGUAUGCCAAUACACACAACAAAGUAAUCAAUUAUGUGAAUAUUGUUGCCUGGUCAUUUGAUUAACCACCCUCUGUUUUAUCAGUGUUUGAAGCUAUAUAAUAUUUUCUUAUGUGCAAUGUGGAAUAUACGUUCAAAGCUAUUAUAUUAAUGCAUCAUUGUGACUGGCAGGCCAGCAGAAUUCAUUAUUACUGCAAAAAAAAAUAUUUGAAGCAGCAUCUGUCUGUCUGUUCCUGGCAAAUUAGGCCUUUUUAAAACUGCAGCAUGUCUUCUUCUCAACUGUUAGGUCUAAGAUUCAGAAAUGACUUCUAUUAUUUAUUUAUUCUUUGAGGGUGCACUUAUCUGUCCAUAACAGUCAGACUGGUUGAAUAAUGCAGAAGGGUUCCACAUUGCUCCUGCAGAAAGCCAUCUAUUCCUGACACAGUUGUAUUCCUGUCUUCGAUCCCCCAUUUUCUUGAUGGAAAUUAAACACUUUUUAAAUCAUGGUUUUGUUACCCGGGUCAUGGGGUUUAAGACACACGCAGCCAUUUGGUGUGAGUUAUAAAUUAGUUUUUCCAUCACAAUGAUUUGCAUGUUUUUUGCAAUUACUGAUAAAUCUUAAACCAUCCAUAAUCUAUUUCACGUAAAAUAAAAGAUAUAAUAAGCGUUGGUAAAAAUUAUAUAGAAAGUGUGUAGUGAGUGCAAUAGCAUAUGGAAUAAUUUUUUCUACGACAAAUGGUGAUGCAUCACAAAAAAAUGAUUGCUUUAUUACGGGUUAAAUUGUCCCUAAACAUAAUUCAGCAGAUUGAAAUAGUAAAUAACUCAACUUUGGUUUUCCAUUGCUCAAUGGAUCUUCCAAAACAUAACUAGCACAUUAUCCAACAUUGUACAACAACACACAAAUAGGCCUUAAAGCGUCAGCAAUGGCUGACGCUUACAGCCCGACCGCCUCAUGGAAAACCCUGUUCUUUAGGAGCUGAAAAUAGAAGUUUGGGAUCCUCCUGGGGGUUUCAUUCCUGCAGCAUUCGCACGAAUGGAUACAGUAGAUAAGAUACGCAGCAGGAAGUGACAUUACGUCAUUAUUCUCUUACGAAUGUAUGUACAGUACAGAGCAAAGGGGACUAACAUAAUGCGGAAAGGACCCCUUGGUCCCAAAUACAGUAGGCUUGACAUAUGUAGACUCUGUAUGGCUGCAUUGCUUCAGUACCUGAGUUGUGUUUUAAGACCAACCAUAAAGACAAGGGCGAUGUCAAAAUAUUGUAACUACAUUUCCAAUAAAUCAACCAAAAGGGACCUGGGCUUUCUCUUCCACUCACAAGCAUUUUAAAUGACAUUUAGACGCUUAACCUUUGAUGCCAUGUUGUUUCAUUUAGUCAGCGUCCUCCCUCUUCCUCAGAAUAUCUUAAUCGGCGUGGAAAAUAAGGCACCUAUUAUACACAUUGGUCUAUUUCUAUGGGUUCGCUAUCCUUGU